rnacentral:rRNA from 1 species
AACGAACGCUGGCGGCAUGCCUAACACAUGCCAGUCGAACGAGACCUUCGGGUCUAGUGGCGCACGGGUGCGUAACGCGUGGGGACCCGCCCUUAGGUUCGGAAUAACUCCCCGAAAGGGGUGCUAAUACCGGAUAAUGUCUUCGGACCAAAGAUUUAUCGCCUUUGGAUGGGCCCGCGUUGGAUUAGCUAGUUGGUAGGGUAAAAGCCUACCAAGGCGACGAUCCAUAGCUGGUCUGAGAGGAUGAUCAGCCACACUGGGACUGAGACACGGCCCAGACUCCUACGGGAGGCAGCAGUGGGGAAUAUUGGACAAUGGGCGAAAGCCUGAUCCAGCAAUGCCGCGUGAGUGAUGAAGGCCUUAGGGUUGUAAAGCUCUUUUACCCGGGAUGAUAAUGACAGUACCGGGAGAAUAAGCUCCGGCUAACUCCGUG